UUGAAGAGUUUGAUCAUGGCUCAGAUUGAACGCUGGCGGCAGGCCUAAGACAUGCAAGUCGAACGGUAACGACACUAGCUUGCUAGUGGUCGACGAGUGGCGGACGGGUGAGUAACGCGUAGGAAUCUACCUAGUAGUGGGGGAUAGCCAAGGGAAACUUUGGGUAAUACCGCAUACGAUCUAAGGAUGAAAGGGGGCCUCUCUUUGAAGCUCUCGCUAUUAGAUGAGCCUGCGUAAGAUUAGCUUGUUGGUGGGGUAAUGGCCCACCAAGGCGACGAUCUUUAGCUGGUCUGAGAGGAUGAUCAGCCACACCGGGACUGAGACACGGCCCGGACUCCUACGGGAGGCAGCAGUCGGGAAUAUUGCGCAAUGGGGGAAACCCUGACGCAGCCAUGCCGCGUGUGUGAAGAAGGCCCUAGGGUUGUAAAGCACUUUCAAUUGGGAGGAAAAGCUAAUGGUUAAUAGCCAUUAGCCCUGACGUUACCUUUAGAAGAAGCACCGGCUAACUCCGUGCCAGCAGCCGCGGUAAUACGGAGGGUGCAAGCGUUAAUCGGAAUUACUGGGCGUAAAGCGCGCGUAGGCGGACUGGAAAGUUGGGGGUGAAAUCCCAGGGCUCAACCCUGGAACUGCCUCCAAAACUAUCAGUCUAGAGUUCGAGAGAGGUGAGUGGAAUUCCGAGUGUAGAGGUGAAAUUCGUAGAUAUUCGGAGGAACACCAGUGGCGAAGGCGGCUCACUGGCUCGAUACUGACGCUGAGGUGCGAAAGUGUGGGGAGCAAACAGGAUUAGAUACCCUGGUAGUCCACACCGUAAACGAUGAAUGCCAGUCGUCGGGUAGCAUGCUAUUCGGUGACACACCUAACGGAUUAAGCAUUCCGCCUGGGGAGUACGGUCGCAAGAUUAAAACUCAAAGAAAUUGACGGGGGCCCGCACAAGCGGUGGAGCAUGUGGUUUAAUUCGAAGCAACGCGCA
rnacentral:rRNA from 1 species